GCAGGAAAGUGAACAAGUGCUACCGGGGCCGCUCCUGCCCCAUCAUCGUGCACUGCAGUGAUGGUGCAGGGAGGACUGGCACCUACAUCCUCAUCGACAUGGUCCUGAACCGCAUGGCAAAAGGAGUGAAGGAGAUCGACAUCGCUGCCACCCUGGAGCAUGUCCGUGACCAACGGCCUGGCCUUGUCCGCUCUAAGGACCAGUUUGAAUUUGCCCUGACAGCCGUGGCAGAGGAGGUGAAUGCCAUCCUUAAGGCCCUGCCCCAGUGAGACCCUGGGGACCCUUGGUGGGCAGCCCAGCCUUUGUCCUUCUUUGCCUGUGUGAGCAUCUCUGUGUACCCACUCCUCACUGCCCUACCGGCCACCUGUUGGGCAUGCCCAGCCCUUCCUGGAAGAGUCAGGAAGGGGAAGCCAGAAGGGGCACACCUGCCCAGCCUCACGCAUGCGGGAGCCCGGGGCAUCCCAGAGCCCAGGGCGUCCCAUGGGGGCUCUGCUGCCAGGAGGAGAGGAAAGGACGUGGGCAGCAAUUCUACCCAGAGCCUUCUCCUGCCUAUGUUCCCUGGCUUGGCUCUCCCAUGGCUCUCCCAUGGUUCUGGGAGCUCUCCCCAUGUCUGUGUGUGCCCCACUAUGCUCCAGCGUGGAAGAACGGGGUGGAGGGUCACCACACCCGGCUCCCCCUGCUUCUCAGCCCCGGGCCUGCCUCCUUGACUCACACUUGGGCGUUCUGCCCUCCCUGCCCUCAUGCCCAGCCUCCUCCCACCGCUCUCCCACCAUGUGCUGCUCAACCUCUCUCCUUCUGGCGCAAGAGAACAUGUCUAGAAAAAUCUACUUUUGUACCAAUGUGAAUAAAGUUAGUGUGUUUUCUGUGCAGCUGCAA